GGUGUUUACUGUCGAACUGAACACUCUACCGUUUACUGUCUGGUGGUGCUCUUCACCGAGUGUCACCAGUGGUCGGUACGUUUACUUUGAAAAAAUUAGAGUGCUCAAGCGGUUUUUACACGACGAUACUGUUGCAUGAUAUGAAAUAGGACUUGUCUAUUUGUGUCUACCAACCAACGGUAUGACCAGUAGCGACAGACGGGGGCAUUAGUACUGCGACGCUAGAGGUGAAAUUCUUGCACCGUCGCAAGACUAACUAAAGCGAAAGCAUUUGCCAAGAAUGUUUUCAUUAAUCAAGAACGAAAGUCAGAGGUUCGAAGGCGAUCAGAUACCGCCCUAGUUCUAACCAUAAACGAUGCCAACCAGCAAUCAGCCUGUGUUCUCUUGAUGACACGGCUGGCGGCUUCCGGGAAACCAAAGUCUUUCGGUUCCAGGGGAAGUAUGGUUGCAAAGCUGAAACUUAAAGGAAUUGACGGAAGGGCACCACCAGGAGUGGAGCGUGCGGCUUAAUUUGACUCAACACGGGGAAACUCACCCGGCCCGGACACUGUGAGGAUUGACAGGUUGAAGCCCUUUCUUGAUUCAGUGGGUGGUGGUGCAUGGCCGUUCUUAGUUGGUGGAGUGAUUUGUCUGGUUAAUUCCGAUAACGAACGAGACUCUAGCCUACUAAUUAGACCGUGGCGUCCUCGUGCCGCCACGGCGCUUCCUAGAGGGACAGACGG
rnacentral:rRNA from 1 species